AAUAGAUAUCCUGGUAGUCCUGGCCGUAAACGAUGAACACUAGGCGUAGUCGGUAGUCGACCCCGGCUGUGCCGUAGCUAACGCAUUAAGUGUUCCGCCUGGGGAGUACGGCCGCAAGGCUAAAACUCAAAGGAAUUGACGGGGGGCCCGCACAAGCAGCGGAGCGUGUGGUUUAAUUCGUCGCAACGCGAAGAACCUUACCAGGGCUUGACAUGUGGCGGAAAACGGCGGAAACGUCGUCCUCCCGCAAGGGACCGUCAUGCAGGUGUUGCAUGGCUGUCGUCAGCUCGUGUCGUGAGAUGUUGGGUUAAGUCCCGCAACGAGCGCAACCCCCGUGGCAUGUUGUAUCUCUCAUGCCAGACUGCCGAGAGAAACCCGGAGGAAGGUGGGGAUGACGCCAAGUCAGCAUGGCCCUUACGUCCUGGGCUACACACACGCUACAAUGGCCGGUACAACGGGUUGCCAAACCGCGAGGUGGAGCUAAUCCCUUAAAGCCGGUCUCAGUUCGGAUUGCAGGCUGCAACUCGCCUGCAUGAAC
rnacentral:rRNA from 1 species